rnacentral:lncRNA from 1 species
GGGCCUCCCACCGUCGGCCCCGCCCCGCCCCAGGAGCCGCCCGAACUGGGCCCCCUGCACCCGAGGGCCAAGGACGCGGGGUCCCCACUCCCGGCCACCCACUGGGACCGACCGAACUGGAAGACACCUCCUGCGGGCUCCUCCAGGGCGGACCCUGCAAGAGCUCAGGAACCAAUGUGUGAAAGUGGUUCUUGAGUGGUGUUGGGUCUGGACCACCGAGGUCUGGGGAGAGGCCCCACACGUGGGUCCCAUGACUGCAGCCUGAACCAAGCCGGAAAAUGCCAAGGAUCUACACUGGAUGCUUCAGGAUAACCAUCUAAAGCAUCGCGUGUCUCUGGGUGAAAUGGAAAAUGACGUAGGAAAAUAUUGGGUGAAAUCUUGGAAAUGACUCAUACUACCAUGUAAAUGGAGCCACCCAUUUUUCAACAACUGUUCAUCAACUACCUCCUAUCUGCUCGUCACUGCCUUUUAGCGGAAUGUCCUAAUAAAGUGGAGAUUUAUAAUUUAUACAAUUAGAA